UGGUGAACACAGAGGAGCAGAAGCCCCAGGA
rnacentral:piRNA from 1 species